UGUUCGAGCGUCAUUUAAACCAAUCCAGCUUGCUGGUCUUGGGUUUCGCCUCCGGGCGGGCCUUGAAAUCAGCGGCGGUGCCACCCGGCUCUAAGCGUAGUAAUUCUUCUCGCUACAGAGUUCCAGGUGGAGGCUUGCCAACCAACCCCUAAUUUUCAAAGGUUGACCUCGGAUCAGGUAGGGAUACCCGCUGAACUUAA
rnacentral:misc_RNA from 1 species